UACGUAGGCAGCAAGCGUUGCUCGGAAUCACUGGGCGUAAAGCGCACGUAGGCGGAUUGCUAAGUCAGGGGUGAAAUCCUGGAGCUCAACUCCAGAACUGCCUUUGAUACUGGUGAUCUUGAGUCCGGGAGAGGUGAGUGGAACUGCGAGUGUAGAGGUGAAAUUCGUAGAUAUUCGCAAGAACACCAGUGGCGAAGGCGGCUCACUGGCCCGGUACUGACGCUGAGGUGCGAAAGCGUGGGGAGCAAACGG
rnacentral:rRNA from 1 species